rnacentral:rRNA from 1 species
UACUCUUCGGGGUUGUAGGACUGCAAUGUGGACUUAAAGAUUAUAGAAGAAUGACAUGGGAAGGUCAGCCAAAGAGAGUAAGAGCCUCGUAUUCGAAAUAGUCUUUAUACCUAGCAGUAUCCUGAGUACGGCGGGACACGAGAAAUCCCGUCGGAAUCUGGGAGGACCAUCUCCCAACCCUAAAUACUCUCUAGUGACCGAUAGUGAACCAGUACCGUGAGGGAAAGGUGAAAAGCACCCCGGGAGGGGAGUGAAAUAGAACCUGAAACCGUGUGCCUACAACAAGUUCGAGCCCGUUAAUGGGUGAGAGCGUGCCUUUUGUAGAAUGAACCGGCGAGUUACGAUAUGAUGCGAGGUUAAGUUGAAGAGACGGAGCCGUAGGGAAACCGAGUCUUAAUAGGGCGCAUUAGUAUCAUGUCGUAGACCCGAAACCAUGUGACCUACCCAUGAGCAGGUUGAAGGUGAGGUAAAACUCACUGGAGGACCGAACCAGGGCACGUUGAAAAGUGCUUGGAUGACUUGUGGGUAGCGGAGAAAUUCCAAACGAACUUGGAGAUAGCUGGUUCUCUCCGAAAUAGCUUUAGGGCUAGCGUCGAUGUUAAGUCUCUUGGAGGUAGAGCACUGUUUGGGUGAGGGGUCCAUCCCGGAUUACCAAUCUCAGAUAAACUCCGAAUGCCAACGAGAUAUAAUCGGCAGUCAGACUGCGAGUGCUAAGAUCCGUAGUCGAAAGGGAAACAGCCCAGACCACCAGCUAAGGUCCCAAAAUAAUUGUUAAGUGGAAAAGGAUGUGGGGUUGCACAGACAACUAGGAUGUUAGCUUAGAAGCAGCUAUUCAUUCAAAGAGUGCGUAAUAGCUCACUAGUCGAGUGACCCUGCGCCGAAAAUGUACCGGGGCUAAAACAUAUUACCGAAGCUGUGGAUACCUUUAUAGGUAUGGUAGGAGAGCGUUCUAUGUGUGGAGAAGGUGUACCGUGAGGAGCGCUGGAACGCAUAGAAGUGAGAAUGCCGGUAUGAGUAGCGAAAGACAGGUGAGAAUCCUGUCCACCGUAAGACUAAGGUUUCCAGGGGAAGGCUCGUCCGCCCUGGGUUAGUCGGGACCUAAGGAGAGACCGAAAGGUGUAUCCGAUGGACAACAGGUUGAUAUUCCUGUACUAGAGUAUAUAGUGAUGGAGGGACGCAGUAGGCUAACUAAACCAGACGAUUGGAAGUGUCUGGCCAAGCAGUGAGGUGUGAUAUGAGUCAAAUGCUUAUAUCUAUAACAUUGAGCUGUGAUGGGGAGCGAAGUUUAGUAGCGAAGUUAGUGAUGUCACACUGCCGAGAAAAGCUUCUAGCGUUAAUUAUACUCUACCCGUACCGCAAACCGACACAGGUAGUCGAGGCGAGUAGCCUCAGGUGAGCGAGAGAACUCUCGUUAAGGAACUCGGCAAAAUGGCCCCGUAACUUCGGGAGAAGGGGCGCUGACUUAUGGUCAGCCGCAGUGAAUAGGCCCAAGCAACUGUUUAUCAAAAACACAGCUCUCUGCUAAAUCGUAAGAUGACGUAUAGGGGGUGACGCCUGCCCGGUGCUGGAAGGUUAAGAGGAGUGCUUAGCGUAAGCGAAGGUAUGAAUUGAAGCCCCAGUAAACGGCGGCCGUAACUAUAACGGUCCUAAGGUAGCGAAAUUCCUUGUCGGGUAAGUUCCGACCCGCACGAAAGGCGUAAUGAUUUGGGCACUGUCUCAACGAGAGACUCGGUGAAAUUUUAGUACCUGUGAAGAUGCAGGUUACCCGCGACAGGACGGAAAGACCCCAUGGAGCUUUACUGCAGUUUGAUAUUGAGUAUCUGUACCACAUGUACAGGAUAGGUAGGAGCCUAUGACCUCGGGACGCCAGUUUCGAGUGAGGCGUUGUUGGGAUACUACCCUUGUGUUAUGGCUACUCUAACCCAGAUAGGUUAUCCCUAUCGGAGACAGUGUCUGACGGGCAGUUUGACUGGGGCGGUCGCCUCCUAAAAGGUAACGGAGGCGCCCAAAGGUUCCCUCAGAAUGGUUGGAAAUCAUUCGCAGAGUGUAAAGGUAUAAGGGAGCUUGACUGCGAGAGCUACAACUCGAGCAGGGACGAAAGUCGGGCUUAGUGAUCCGGUGGUUCCGCAUGGAAGGGCCAUCGCUCAACGGAUAAAAGCUACCCUGGGGAUAACAGGCU